UACGUAGGGGGCAAGCGUUAUCCGGAUUUACUGGGUGUAAAGGGAGCGUAGACGGCAUUGCAAGUCCGGAGUGAAAGCCCACGGCCCAACCCCGGGACUGCUCUUGGAACUGCGUGGCUGGAGUGCAGGAGGGGCAGGCGGAAUUCCUGGUGUAGCGGUGAAAUGCGUAGAUAUCAGGAGGAACACCGGUGGCGAAGGCGGCCUGCUGGACUGCAACUGACGUUGAGGCCCGAAAGCGUGGGGAGCAAACAGG
rnacentral:rRNA from 1 species